rnacentral:rRNA from 1 species
AUCAGCGCAUUAAGGACUACAACUACAGCAGUCUGACUGGGCGUUACGCAUCAGGUUAUACACUUGAUGAUAUGGAGCAACGUUACAUCCAGUGGGGUAACAAUGUCAUUGUUGGGCAUGGUGCUAUCAGCGCAGGAGCAGACUGGAAACAGGAAAAACUGAUGUCUUUUGGCGCUAAUGGCACGGAUAACUACAAGCGUAAUAACACUGGGCUUUAUCUAACCGGGCAGCAGCAAAUUGAUAACAUCACACUAGAAGCCUCUGGUCGUGAGGAUCACGAUGGCCAGCUAGGUUGGCAUGGCACUUGGCAAACGGCAGCAGGGUGGCAGUUUGUUGAUGGUUACAAAGUAACGCUUUCCUAUGGAACUGGUUUCCUUGCUCCUUCGCUUGGUCAACAAUUUGGCGCAGAGCGGUUUGGUAUUGCUUCUAACCCUAACUUGAAACCAGAAGAAUCUAAGCAAUGGGAGGCAGGAUUAGAAGGCUUGACAGGUCCUGUUGACUGGCGAUUGUCGACCUAUCGCUACAAAAUUCAGAACCUGAUCGACUACAACAACAAUACCUAUUUUAACGUUAAAUCCGCGACCAUUAAGGGCCUGGAAUGGACGGGUAAUUUCACAACUGGUCCUAUCGAUCAUCGUUUAACAUUGCAGUAUGUAGACCCCCGUGAUGAUGAAACUGAUCAACAACUCUAUCGCCGUGCAAAACAGCAGGUAAAAUAUGAGUUGAGCGGUGAGGUUUACGAGUUGGGGUGGGAUGUCACGUAUCAGUACAUUGGUGAACGAUACGAUUACGACUAUGACAGUACCCGUAAGGUGAAAAUGGGAGGACUGAGCGUGUGGGAUAUCGGACUUUCAUAUCCGGUCACCUCUCAUCUGACAGUUCGUGGUAAAAUAGCCAACCUGUUCGACAAAGAUUAUGAGACAGUCUAUGGCUACCAAACUGCAGGACGGGAAUACACCUUGUCUGGCAGCUACACCUUCUGAACCACGUCCCACCGUGCUGGUGUUUGACUCCGGCGUCGGUGGGUUGUCGGUCUAUGACGAGAUCCGGCAUCUCUUACCGGAUCUCCAUUACAUUUAUGCUUUCGAUAACGUCGCUUUCCCGUAUGGCGAAAAAAGCGAAGCGUUUAUUGUUGAGCGAGUGGUGGCAAUUGUCACCGCGGUGCAAGAACGUUAUCCCCUUGCGCUGGCUGUGGUCGCUUGCAACACUGCCAGUACCGUUUCACUUCCUGCAUUACGCGAAAAGUUCGACUUCCCGGUUGUUGGUGUCGUGCCGGCGAUUAAACCUGCUGCACGUCUGACGGCAAAUGGCAUUGUCGGAUUACUGGCAACCCGCGGAACAGUUAAACGUUCUUAUACUCAUGAGCUGAUCGCGCGUUUCGCUAAUGAAUGCCAGAUAGAAAUGCUGGGCUCGGCAGAGAUGGUUGAGUUGGCUGAAGCGAAGCUACAUGGCGAAGAUGUUUCUCUGGAUGCACUAAAACGUAUCCUACGCCCGUGGUUAAGAAUGAAAGAGCCGCCAGAUACCGUUGUAUUGGGUUGCACCCAUUUCCCUCUACUACAAGAAGAACUGUUACAAGUGCUGCCAGAGGGAACCCGGCUGGUGGAUUCUGGCGCAGCGAUUGCUCGCCGAACGGCCUGGUUGUUAGAACAUGAAGCCCCGGAUGCAAAAUCUGCCGAUGCGAAUAUUGCCUUUUGUAUGGCAAUGACGCCAGGAGCUGAACAAUUAUUGCCCGUUUUACAGCGUUACGGCUUCGAAACGCUCGAAAAACUGGCAGUUUUAGGCUGAUUUGGUUGAAUGUUGCGCGGUCAGAAAAUUAUUUUAAAUUUCCUCUUGUCAGGCCGGAAUAACUCCCUAUAAUGCGCCACCACUGACACGGAACAACGGCAAACACGCCGCCGGGUCAGCGGGGUUCUCCUGAGAACUCCGGCAGAGAAAGCAAAAAUAAAUGCUUGACUCUGUAACGGGAAAGCGUAUUAUGCACACCCCGCGCCGCUGAGAAAAAGCAAAGCGGCACUGCUCUUUAACAAUUUAUCAGACAAUCUGUGUGAGCACUCGAAGAUACGGAUUCUUAACGUCGAAAGACGAAAAAUGAAUACCAAGUCUCAGGAGUGAACACGUAAUUCA